rnacentral:tRNA from 3 species
UGGGGGAUUAGCUCAUUUGGCUAGAGCGCUUCGCUGGCAGUGAAGAGGUGAUCGGUUCGAAUCCGAUAUUCUCCACCC